rnacentral:tRNA from 1 species
GAGAUAUUAGUAAAACAAUUACAUAACCUUGUCAAGGUUAAAUUAUAGACUAAACCCUAUAUAUCUUA